UACGGAGGGUGCAAGCGUUAUCCGGAUUCACUGGGUUUAAAGGGUGCGUAGGUGGGUUGGUAAGUCAGUGGUGAAAUCUCCAGGCUUAACUUGGAAACUGCCAUUGAUACUAUCAAUCUUGAAUACCGUGGAGGUCAGCGGAAUAUGUCAUGUAGCGGUGAAAUGCGUAGAUAUCGUAAGGAAGACCAGUGGCGAAGGCGGGUCUCUGGACAGUUCCUGACGCUGAGGCACGAAGGCCAGGGGAGCAAACGGG
rnacentral:rRNA from 1 species